UACGGGGGGGGCAAGCGUUGUUCGGAAUUACUGGGCGUAAAGGGCUCGUAGGUGGCCAACUAAGUCAAUCAUGAAAUCCCUCGGCUUAACCGGGGAACUGCGCUUGAUACUGGAUGGCUUGAGUUUGGGAGAGGGAUGCGGAAUUCCAGGUGUAGCGGUGAAAUGCGUAGAUAUCUGGAGGAACACCGGUGGCGAAGGCGGCAUCCUGGACCAAUACUGACGCUGAGGAGCGAAAGCUAGGGGAGCAAACGGGG
rnacentral:rRNA from 1 species